UAGCUAUAUCAUACCAUGUGCUGGUGAGUCCUGUCCACCCAACUUCUGGGCAAGCGCCCAUCUGACUGCCCUUUAGCCAGACAAGAAGAGCAGUAAGCACCCAGUCAUGGGGCAGCUGCUGAGUGCUU
rfam:Rattus norvegicus chromosome 6, whole genome shotgun sequence.